rnacentral:rRNA from 1 species
GGAUCGGCCCGCGUCUGAUUAGCUAGUUGGUGAGGUAAUGGCUCACCAAGGCGACGAUCAGUAGCUGGUCUGAGAGGAUGAUCAGCCACAUUGGGACUGAGACACGGCCCAAACUCCUACGGGAGGCAGCAGUGGGGAAUAUUGGACAAUGGGCGCAAGCCUGAUCCAGCCAUGCCGCGUGAGUGAUGAAGGCCUUAGGGUUGUAAAGCUCUUUCGUCCGGGACGAUAAUGACGGUACCGGAAGAAGAAGCCCCGGCUAACUUCGUGCCAGCAGCCGCGGUAAUACGAAGGGGGCUAGCGUUGUUCGGAAUCACUGGGCGUAAAGGGCGCGUAGGCGGCUUGAUAAGUCGGGGGUGAAAGCCUGUGGCUCAACCACAGAAUUGCCUUCGAUACUGUCUGGCUUGAGACCGGAAGAGGUAAGUGGAACUGCGAGUGUAGAGGUGAAAUUCGUAGAUAUUCGCAAGAACACCAGUGGCGAAGGCGGCUUACUGGUCCGGUUCUGACGCUGAGGCGCGAAAGCGUGGGGAGCAAACAGGAUUAGAUACCCUGGUAGUCCACGGCCGUAAAACGAUGAAUGCCAGCCGUUGGCGAGCUUGCUCGUCAGUGGGCGCACCUAACGCUUUAAGCAUUCCGCCUGGGGAGUACGGUCGCAAGAUUAAAAACUCAAAGGAAUUGACGGGGGCCCGCACAAAGCGGUGGAAGCAUGUGGUUUUAAUUCCAAACACGCGCAAA